UCUAACGUGUGACGUUCGUCCGUUUCCUAACAGUUUCCUGCGUUCCCUCUGGGCGCCAGGCCUGUGCAGCUCACGGAGCCCACAGUCCAGCCGGGGCCGACGAGCGCCAAGCAGACAGGCCACGACCCCCAGUGAGCAGCUCGGGUCUGGGAGCAGGAGAGCGAGCGGGGAGCUCAGCCCCCUGCUCCCGCCGGAAGGGUUUGUCCCAGAGAGGAGGCAACAUCCCGGCUCGUCAUCACACCUCUGAAAGCCCGCACCGCUGCCCCAAGCGGAAACCCUAAACUGCUGGUCCCCGAAGUCGCCUGGAGACAGCCAGCACCAGGAGUGGAACCGCGGGACCACGGUUAUCCUCGUUUGAUUUUGGGGGAGCUGCCGGGCUGCCUUCCACAGCGGUGGCUUAUGUCGCAGUGCUACCAGCGGUGAGCAGGGGGUCCCAUUUCCCUGCAUCCUCCUCGGCCUCAGUCCUCAUUGGCCAGCCGGGCAGAUCCAGUGGAUCUCAAGGUCUUGGGGGAUGGCAGGGCCCCAAAAGAGAAGGGGCCCAGGUCCCUGGGUCACACUGCAUGCGGACUGACUACAAAACACCGGGACUGUACAUGAGCAAGUCCUAACCUCUGACUUCAAGUCGCUGACAUUUCGCGGGGGCUUAUCUGUCACGGCAGCGAGGGUCAUUCAGCCUAAGAAACAUACAAGGUAGUGGCAAAAUCUAGUUUGCGGGAUUGCUGCAAAGAUUCAGUGAGUGGAUCCAUGAAUAGCCCUUCACUCAGGACAGUCUUAGCACCGGAUAAAUGUCAGCUGUUGUUUUAA